rnacentral:tRNA from 4 species
GGCUGAUUGGUCAAGCGGUCAAGACGCCGCCCUCUCACGGCGGAAACAGGGGUUCGAUUCCCCUAUCAGCUG